rnacentral:tRNA from 1 species
GCGGGCUUAGCUCAGUUGGUUAGAGCGUCUGCCUUACACGCAGAAUGUCGGGGGUUCGAGUCCCUCAGCCCGCACCA